AGAAGAUUGGCCGAGAGGUAAGGCAGCAGUUUGCUAAACUGUACAAGGUAAUACUUGCAUUGGUUCGAAUCCAAUAUCUUCUGCCU
rnacentral:tRNA from 1 species